rnacentral:rRNA from 1 species
UAGGGAAUCUUCGGCAAUGGACGGAAGUCUGACCGAGCAACGCCGCGUGAGUGAAGAAGGUUUUCGGAUCGUAAAGCUCUGUUGUAAGAGAAGAACGAGUGUGAGAGUGGAAAGUUCACACUGUGACGGUAACUUACCAGAAAGGGACGGCUAACUACGUGCCAGCAGCCGCGGUAAUACGUAGGUCCCGAGCGUUAUCCGGAUUUAUUGGGCGUAAAGCGAGCGCAGGCGGUUAGAUAAGUCUGAAGUUAAAGGCUGUGGCUUAACCAUAGUACGCUUUGGAAACUGUUUAACUUGAGUGCAGAAGGGGAGAGUGGAAUUCCAUGUGUAGCGGUGAAAUGCGUAGAUAUAUGGAGGAACACCGGUGGCGAAAGCGGCUCUCUGGUCUGUAACUGACGCUGAGGCUCGAAAGCGUGGGGAGCAAACAGGAUUAGAUACCCUGGUAGUCCACGCCGUAACGAUGAGUGCUAGGUGUUGGGUCCUUUCCGGGACUCAGUGCCGCAGCUAACGCAUUAAGCACUCCGCCUGGGGAGUACGACCGCAAGGUUG